GACCAGGGGCCAGUGUUUCCUUUCACCAGCUUUGGAAAGGAGCCAAUACUGUCCCACUUGCUUGCUUUUGUUCUUAAGUGCCCAGGGAUAGGACGGCAGAGCUCUUGGUUAACCUGGAAAACCAGACUUCCAAGUGUGUCCCCACCAAGGUGCACUGAGAUUUUCAAAGGCUGAUUUGCCUGGCAUCAAGGUCAAAUCUGGAAAUCAGCUUUCAGAUACUAAGUUUCUAGAAUGCCCAGUUCUCCUAUAAACAUUCAUGUAUUGAAUCAGUGCAGAAAUGCCUCAGAAGAUCCUGGACUUUGGCUGGGGUAAGAAUGUUUUGUGUAGAAAAUGUGUAAAGGGGUUUAGAGUCCUUUCAGAGGCAAUACAAACUAGUGCUAGAGAUCCCUGGAAGGGUAUGUAUGGAAAAGAAGAGCUGAAAUACUUCUUCAGAUAUAUGUGAAAGACAGGUAGGAUGAACUCUUUAUUACCUUCAAAUACUUGUCUUACCUGUGUCACAUACAGGAAUCACAACUAACUGAUUCCCAUACUAGUUUUUAGCAUCAGGGAGAAUUAGCAACAGUUGUAUCUUGCUUUUUAAUAUUAAUUAGACCUAAAGAAUUUGAAAGCUCAGAGAGAACUGUCCUUAAUUCAGCUUUGGCAAAACUUUCUAUCCAAGCAUCCAUCAGUAAUUGCUGUUUCCUCACCUUGUCUGGCCCAUCUUCUCCUCCAUGCUUGGGAUAGUGCAGUUCUCCAGCAUGGUGUGCCCUGAGAUAUCGAGCGAAGUGAGGUUUACCAAGUUUUCCACAAACAGGUUUAGAACCCGCCGGGUCAGCUUGAAUUUGUAGUAACUGGACAGAUGGUCUCGGGAGAUAUCCAAGUGCCUGCAAAUGACAGAGAGCAGCUCACGGCCUGGAAAGCAUCAGCUGGGACUUCCCCCACUACACUGGGGAAAGGAACAUGGUUCUGUAGGAUCUGGCAGCAGGAUCUGGCUUGUGUCUAACCAUAGUCACAGACAUCUGGUAGAAGCCUACUCAGAAUGCAACACCAUGAGUCAUUUGGCCACACCACCACAAAGGUGCAGUGAAAAGGAAGGUUUAUGUCAGGACAUCUAUGCAUGCAGCUCCCUGGGACUUGCCCACCUAAACCAUUCUGAACUGUCAUAAAAAUAAAAAGUACGGGUGAAAGAACUAGAAGAAGG